CUCCUUCACCCUGCUAGAACCUCCAAACAAGCUCAAGGCCCAUUUGUAGGAGAAACGUAGGGAAGUCAAG
rnacentral:sRNA from 1 species